CCUGCCACUGGCGGCGCGCGCCCCAACCGUCGAGGUGGAGAGGGAGGGAGGGAGGAGGAUCCGGCGCGAGGCAACCCAAACGCGACUGAAGCGUCGAAACGAGAAGGGGGCGGGGCGGGGUGCCCUGCGCACGCGCACACAUCGCGCUUCAAGCCCUACUACGCAAAGGAGCUGAGGAGAUGGAACUUGUCGGAGCAAAGAGCAGCAGUUUGAUUUACAGUAGUACCGCUCUCCGCCGGCGAGCGGAGGUCCCGGCCUGAACCACUGGCUGAGAAACAAGACCCAGCCUGGAGAAGAAAAUUCUGGUGAGCUCAACAGCUUUCUCACUACAUUAUAUCAUGGGCACCUACACAACACC